rnacentral:rRNA from 1 species
AGUCGACGGUAACAGGAAUAGCUUGCUAUUUUGCUGACGAGUGGCGCACGGGUGCGUAACGCGUAUACAAUCUACCUUUUGCUGAGGGAUAGCCCAGAGAAAUUUGGAUUAAUACCUCAUGGUAUUAUUGAUAGGCAUCUAUUAAUAAUUAAAGGUUACGGCAAAAGAUGAGUAUGCGUCCCAUUAGCUAGUUGGUGAAGUAACGGUUCACCAAGGCAACGAUGGGUAGGGGUCCUGAGAGGGAGAUCCCCCACACUGGUACUGAGACACGGACCAGACUCCUACGGGAGGCAGCAGUGAGGAAUAUUGGACAAUGGGCGAGAGCCUGAUCCAGCCAUGCCGCGUGCAGGAAGACUGCCCUAUGGGUUGUAAACUGCUUUUAUACAGGAAGAAUAAGCCUUACGUGUAAGGUGAUGACGGUACUGUAAGAAUAAGGACCGGCUAACUCCGUGCCAGCAGCCGCGGUAAUACGGAGGGUCCGAGCGUUAUCCGGAAUUAUUGGGUUU